rnacentral:rRNA from 1 species
AUGAACGCUGGCGGCGUGCCUAAUACAUGCAAGUCGAGCGAACAGACGAGGAGCUUGCUCCUCUGACGUUAGCGGCGGACGGGUGAGUAACACGUGGAUAACCUACCUAUAAGACUGGGAUAACUUCGGGAAACCGGAGCUAAUACCGGAUAAUAUAUUGAACCGCAUGGUUCAAUAGUGAAAGACGGUUUUGCUGUCACUUAUAGAUGGAUCCGCGCCGCAUUAGCUAGUUGGUAAGGUAACGGCUUACCAAGGCAACGAUGCGUAGCCGACCUGAGAGGGUGAUCGGCCACACUGGAACUGAGACACGGUCCAGACUCCUACGGGAGGCAGCAGUAGGGAAUCUUCCGCAAUGGGCGAAAGCUUGACGGAGCAACGCCGCGUGAGUGAUGAAGGUCUUCGGAUCGUAAAACUCUGUUAUUAGGGAAGAACAAAUGUGUAAGUAACUAUGCACGUCUUGACGGUACCUAAUCAGAAAGCCACAGCUAACUACGUG